CUAGAAACCGUUCUCUAAACCCUUCCUUCUCUAUUCCAUCUCUAAACCGUUCUCUAUAUUGCAAUGCAAUGCAAAGCAAAGCUGUACUCACUACACAAACCCUAACUUCUCAUUGCUUUCUAGUUCUUCAGUUUCCCUUUUUGUUUGAUUUUUUGAAACUUCCUCCACUGAAAUAGAAGAUGGCUCAAGUUGUGUUUGCCUAAAG